UACGUAGGGUGCAAGCGUUGUCCGGAAUUAUUGGGCGUAAAGAGCUCGUAGGCGGUCUGUCGCGUCGGCUGUGAAAACUCGGGGCUCAACCCCGAGCCUGCAGUCGAUACGGGCAGACUAGAGUGCGGUAGGGGAGACUGGAAUUCCUGGUGUAGCGGUGAAAUGCGCAGAUAUCAGGAGGAACACCGGUGGCGAAGGCGGGUCUCUGGGACGUGACUGACGCUGAGACGCGAAAGCGUGGGGAGC
rnacentral:rRNA from 1 species